UCCCGUUGAUCCUGCGGGAGGUUGCUGCUAUUGGGAUGCGACUAAGCCAUGCAAGUCAAGGGGUUCUUCGGAACACCGGCGGAAUGCUCAGUAACACGUCGAUAAUCUAACCUUAGGUCAGGCAUACCCUUGGGAAGCUGAGGUUAAAACCUGAUAGGAGAUAAUAUCUGGAAUGACUCUUCUCCUAAAAGUGAUGCCUAAGGAUGAGUCGGCGGCUGAUUAGGUUGUUGGUGAGGUAACGGCCCACCAAGCCUUCGAUCAGUAGGGGCCCUGAGAGGGGGAGCCCCGAGAAGGGCACUGAGAUACUGGCCCUAGCCCUACGGGGUGCAGCAGGCGCGAAACCUUUACAAUAUACGAAAGUAUGAUAGGGGUAUCCCAAGUGCUUAUACAUUGUAUAAGCUUUUUCUAAGAAUAAAUACCUUAGAGAAUAAGUGGUGGGUAAGACUGGUGCCAGCCGCCGCGGUAACACCAGCGCCACAAGUGGCAACCGUUUUUAUUGGGCCUAAAGCGUUCGUAGCCGGUUCAUUAAAUCUCUUGUGAAAUCGUUAAGCUCAACUUAACGGCGUGCUUGAGACACUGGUGGACUUGGAACCGGGAGGAGUCAGAGUAUUUUUGGGGGAGUGGUAAAAUAUUAUAAUCCCAAAAAGACCACCUGUGGCGAAGGCGUCUGACUAGAACAGAUUCGACGGUGAGGGACGAAAGCCAGGGGAGCAAACCGGAUUAGAUACCCGAGUAGUCCUGGCCGUAAACGCUGCGAGCAAGGUGUUGCAUGUUCUUCGUGAGCAUGCAGUGUCGAAAUGAAGAUGUUAAGCUCGCCGCCUGGGAAGUAUAGUCGCAAGACCGAAACUUAAAGGAAUUGGCGGGGGAGCACCACAAGGGGUGCGGCGUGCGGUUUAAUCUAAUUCAACGCAGAGAAUCUCACCAGGGGCGACGGCAGGAUGAAAGUCAGGCUGAAGACCUUACUUGACGAGCCGAGAGGUAGUGCAUGGCCGUCGUCAGCUCGUGCCGUAAGGUGUCCUGUUAAGUCAGGCAACGAGCGAGACCUGUGCUUACAAUUGCUACCGACCUUUGGGAUCGGGCACAUUGUAAGGACUGCCUAGGAAACUAGGAGGAAGGUGCAGGCUACGGUAGGUCUGUAUGCUCCGAAUCCUCUGGGCAACACGCGCGCAACAAUGGCAGAGACAAUGGGCUACAACUCCGAGAGGAGAAGUUAAUCCUCCAAACUCUGUCCAAGUCCAGAUUGAGGGCUGUAACUCGCCCUCAUGACGAUGGAAUCCCUAGUAAUCGUGUUUCAACAUAGCACGGUGAAUAUGUCCCUGCUCCUUGCACACACCGCCCGUCAAACCAACCGGGUAGGGUUUAGGUGAGACUCAAUUUUCUUGAUUGUUUCGAACCUAAGCUUUGUGAGGUGGGUUAAGUCGUCACAAGGUA
rnacentral:rRNA from 1 species